ACCUAGGUCUUCACCCAAGGAGGAUUUGUACUAUGUGGAGGUGAUCUUUAAAGGACAUGUGAUUAACAACCUGACUGGCGUGGAGAAAGAAAACUAUACUUUUAAGUUCUCUGCUGCACAGACACCUGUGGUUUACCAAAUUAGUCCACCAUCUGGCAUCCCAGGAAAUUUAAUAGAGAUCUAUGGGAAGACAAUUGCUGGAAGAUAUGAGACCCUGGACUUCAAUGUGGAUUAUAUUGAUGGGUAACUACAUAUAAGCAUCUAUCUGACCCAGUCAACCCCUGUAAACUGGUGUUUCUUCCGUCAGCCUCCUUGACAGCAAUAAAUUGCAACCAGUUGGCCCAGAAUUGCCAUUUUCUUCCUUUGUGGUUUAUUGCAGCUCAUGAGUUGGGCUCCAGCAAACUUUGUUAAUCUAAUUGCGACUGGUCCAUUAAGCUAGUUGGUUUGUUUACUGGCAGCACAGUCAAUCACAGCUCAGUGUGAGUUGUACUGUAAUUGCGUCUGGUUGCUGUAGAUUUUAUUUUGGCUAGCAAAUUAAAAUUUAACUAAUUAAAAUAAUGUCAGAAUCUUAAAGUUAAAUAAAUUUUCCCUUCCAUUUGC